rnacentral:rRNA from 1 species
AACGAACGCUGGCGGCAGGCCUAACACAUGCAAGUCGAACGGACUCUUCGGAGUUAGUGGCGCACGGGUGAGGAACACGUGGGAAUGUACCCCUUGGUAAGGAAUAACAUCUGGAAACGGAUACUAAUACCUUAUAAUGACUUCGGUCCAAAGAUUUAUCGCCAAGGGAUCAGCCCGCGCAUGAUUAGUUUGUUGGUGAGGUAAUGGCUCACCAAGACUACGAUCAUUAGCUGGUCUGAGAGGAUGAUCAGCCACACUGGAACUGAGACACGGUCCAG